CACGUAGGGCGCAAGCGUUGUCCGGAAUUAUUGGGCGUAAAGAGCUCGUAGGCGGUCUGUUGCGUCCGCUGUGAAACUCGGGGCUUAACCCCGAGCCUGCAGUGGAUACGGGCAGACUAGAGGUAGGUAGGGGAGAAUGGAAUUCCGGUGUAGCGGUGAAAUGCGCAGAUAUCGGGAGGAACACCGGUGGCGAAGGCGGCAUCCUGGACCGACAUUGACGCUGAGGCGCGAAAGCCAGGGAGCAAGCGGG
rnacentral:rRNA from 1 species